UACGUAGGGUGCGAGCGUUGUCCGGAAUUACUGGGCGUAAAGAGCUCGUAGGUGGUUUGUCGCGUUGUCCGUGAAAACUCACAACUCAAUUGUGGGCGUGCGGGCGAUACGGGCAGACUGGAGUACUGCAGGGGAGACUGGAAUUCCUGGUGUAGCGGUGAAAUGCGCAGAUAUCAGGAGGAACACCAAUGGCGAAGGCAGCCUCGCUGGAACGGUACUGACGCUGAGGCGCGAAAGCGUGGGGAGCAAACAGG
rnacentral:rRNA from 1 species